rnacentral:snRNA from 1 species
CAUCGACACAACAAACCCA